GGCUGUGUAAAUGGGAGAGUGUUUGGUGAACCCUAAAGGGGAAGAAAAACCCACGCUGGGCUAAGCCUGGCUGCAGACUUCUUCUAAAGAAACUCUUAUGCCACAAAUUCUGCGAUUCUUACCAACUCAUAAAAGUCAGGAAGAUGGUGCAAACCCCACCUCAAGUUUCCCCACGACGGGGGCUCGAGGAGGGGCUCAGAACGCCCUCACGUCCUCGCGUAUCCCACCAAACAAGUGAGUCUGCUGAUGGCCCAGUUGACAUCAAAGUGCCUCGGACCUGGGCACUGGGACGGUCUCGUGUUGCCGCAUCUGCCCGUCUGCUCUUGACUUUUCUUAUCUCCAAAAGAAGGAGAGAGGCCUCCAGGAUCUCCAGCAUUCCAUCGAAGCAAGAUCUUGCUGUAAGUCAGGGGUUCCAGAGUCUUUGCAGAAGACAGUUGGGGAUGGGGGCAGUGCCCACGGCUCCCUCUGCGGUUCUGAAUGGUGCCCUGUGACUCCGCUCCCAGUCACCGCCCGGCCGGCGCUCCGGUUCAGCCGAGGUCCAGGAGUGGCAGGCCAACCCACUGCCCUGACCGAGGUAUACCCAGGGAGACGCGGGUGCUGUUUACACAGGCCUGGAGCUGGGGCCUGCCUUGCCCUGGCCCGAGCCUCUUACUGCUCUGCGAACUGGAAUUCCCCAAAUUUUCCCCCAAAUUAAAAGAACUAACAAACUGUAUUGCAAAAACAAACAGAGUUUGUUUUUCUUUUAACAAAUAAAAACUAAUUUAUGCUCUA